UACGAAGGGUGCAAGCGUUACUCGGAAUUACUGGGCGUAAAGCGUGCGUAGGUGGUUUGUUAAGUCUGAUGUGAAAGCCCCGGGCUCAACCUGGGAAUGGCAUUGGAUACUGGCAGUCUAGAGUGCGGUAGAGGGUAGUGGAAUUCCCGGUGUAGCAGUGAAAUGCGUAGAUAUCGGGAGGAACAUCCGUGGCGAAGGCGACUACCUGGACCAGCACUGACACUGAGGCACGAAAGCGUGGGGAGCAAACAGG
rnacentral:rRNA from 1 species